GUCAAGGACUGAAGGGGUCAUGCAAAGAAGCUGAGGCUUGGUACCAUAAAGGGAACCUAUGAGAGGCAACCUAGUUGCAGUGAAAAACCCCAGCCUAUUGAAGAUGCCAGUAUCAUGGGAGGACCACCAGGAACAGCAGCAGCAUUGGAGUGGAGUCAGCCAGAGCCUAGAGUGCUUCAGAGGGCAGAGCUGGAGAAGUGACCCAAGCCCCUUUGAGACGCCCAGAAGAUUGUGUGUGGAUGGAACAUAUUGGAGCAAGAAGCUGUAAAGUUGAAGGGACUUUGGAGACUCCAAGAUGCUAGAGAUACUACAGCCAUGAGAUCUCUGCUGAGAAAAGAUGCUAGUGAAAGCAGUCCAGUAAAAGAAGUUUGUUGUAGUCAGCGAAGUUGAAAGGAGUUGAAUAUCUGAAGAAUGCUUUGACAUCAGACAUGGAGAUGCAGGGGUUUGAGUUUGCCCAGCUAGAUUUGGGUCUUGUUUGGUUUAUAUUUCCUCACGAUGACGUUUUGGAAUGGUAAUGUAUAUCCUGUGAUGUUUAAGAUAUGUGAUCUGCUUUUUGAUUUUGACGUUAGAGUUGAUUACACUUAAGUGAUUCAGUGACUCUCAGAAAGGACUGAGCUUUUAGCACUGCUUAUAGAUUAUAGAUUAUAGGGACUUUUGAGGUUGAACUAAAUGUUCUUUGCCUUGUGCUGUGUUUGAGUAUGGCCUCCAUAGACUCCUGUGUUUGAACAAGCCUAUGGGCACCAGGGAGUGGAAUGUGGUGAUUUGUACAUGCUUAGCCGAGGGAGUAGCACUUGACGAUAAUAGACUGAACCUCUGAACCUGUAAGCCAGCCCCAGUUAAAUGUUGUCCUUAUAAGAAUUGCCUGGGUCAUGGUGUCUGUUCACAGCAAUGGAAACCCUAACUAAGACGAAUAGUAAUUAGAGGGCAGGUAUGUGGGGGCAGGAAAGGGCCUAUGGUGGGCCCAGGUGUGGAGCUUGGAGAGUGUGAACUGGAGUUUCAAGGGGGAAAAGCCACAGCAAUGCUAGCGAGGUAACCCUAUCGGAUCACUGAUCAAUGAGACGUUCUGUAAUGUGGAGAGCUGGAAGGUAACCAGUCCAAACCAAACUAUCUUGGGUUAUCUUUAGCAUCUUUAAUGUCAUUCAUUAUUUAUGUAGUAUGGAAACAAACUACUGGCUUAGGAUAGGAGUGCCAUGAGAUUACACAAGUAACCUAUAACAGCUUCCCACAUUUGGUAAGACCCACCUGUCUGAUGCUCCCACCAAUGUAUUCUAAAAGUUCUUGAUUUAUAACUUUCUUUGUUCUGUUGCAAUAGGAAUUUGAUAAAACUGUUACCACAUCGGGGCACAGUAUUUGUGGCAACAUGAAUCUGUGUUCUUGGACUGUAGUCACUUACAUUUAGGUCCAAAAUAAGUUCUUUCUUAUUCUCUUUGAGGUGGGAGCUAGGAAAGACAACUUCAUGUGGUUUGGAAGUGUUCCUUCUUCCUCUUGUCUUCUUUCCCAAUCACUCAGUCUUGAAGCCAUCAAUUAGGACCAUGGCAGAAAGACAACAGUGUUAGUAAGAGCCUGGUGUGGGAACCAGAGCCCCCAACAUACUGAUCAGAGCUUUGGGCUUCAUGUUCCAUCCCCAGAUAAAUAAGGAUCUUUAAGAUACACUUACCUGAAAUUUAAAGGAAAUGAGUAAGACAGAGUUAGGGAUACUGCUUCCACCAUGACAUCAAAGGAUGCCCUCUCUGAGGCUGUAAUGUUGAACCUGAUUCUUGGGAGGAACAGAGAGGCUCCGUGAGGUGAGGUGGAGACAAUUAGAGUGUAUCCAGGUCAGGGUUUUGGCAUGUUUGAAAAAGAUGCUGCCCUGCCAUGAGCUCUUCUGGAGCUGCUUGUCAUCUCGGUUAAAGAACGAUGAAGCUGAGGUGAGGCAUGGCUGGAAGAGAACUGGCUGAUGCUUUUGGCUGCUUUCCACUGAGAGACAGGAGCAGCAUCCCCUCCCACAUUUACCGGUGAAGACCCAUAGAGCACUGUGCCGGUCUGCUCACCAAGAGAUAUAAAAAGACACAAGGCUCGGUUCCUGCCCACAAGGAGCUCUUGGUCUGGCGAGAGAGACAGGGGUAAGAACAGCAGUACCAUUAUGCUAGAACCGAUGGUGACCCUGGGGCAGGGAGCAAAAGAGAAAGUAGGGCAAUGGGCUCAGCCUGCAGGAAGGUGGCUAGUGAGAUCUGAAAGUGUCAGCUUGCCAGGGGACAGGAAGGGAGAGGCUUCUCCGGGCAGAAGGACAGAAGGUGCAGAAGCAUUGAGGUGUGAUGGAGCAUGGGGUGUGAGGGGCCUGCCUGCAAGGGCUGUGUGGGUGGAUCCGAAGAGGAAAGCCAGGGCAUGACGGUGAACGCAUCUCAGAGGCUGCACUGUGUUUAUGGGCACUGGUAGAAAUGGUGGACUCAUCCCACUGUCCCAGGAAAAUUCAUCCCCCACAGCACACUUAAUUUUCAGUUUCCGUCCUCAUUGUCUUUAAAUAUCAAAUGCUAUCUGUGAGAAGCCCGCGACCUAAGAGAUCCAUCUCGCCCCUGUGACUUGUCUGACCUGUAGCCGCAGUGUGUCUAUCUGCAGAGAGAGGGAAGAAUUACCCAUGCCUCACAACAUCACUACGAAGACGGAAUGAGAUAUGUCCGUGGAAACAUUCCCUAACUGUCCAAGAGCGGCUUGACUGUUUAAAUGCGCCCAAUGAAAACUGUUUGGGAGCUUGCCUGGUCGCCGUCUCUGCUGGUGUCGCCGCUGCUCUGGGACCCUGCUUGCUGUGGGGAGAGCUUCAUAGCACACCCCUUCCCCACUCUCCCCACUUUCUACACAGGCUGUAGCACCCUUCUGGAUUCCUGCUCUUUACAUAGAGUACAGACAGACACACUUCUUUUUGAAAGCCUUUUUUUUUUAAAUGUAUGUAUGUGAGGGUUUUGUCUGUGUCCAUCACAUACAUGGCUGGUACCCACGGAGGUCAGAAGAAGACAUCCAGUACCCUGAACCUGGAGUUAUGGUUGUCAUGAGCCAUCAUGUGGAUACUGGGAACUGGACCUGUGUCUUCUGCAGUCCCAGACCAUCAUCACUUUUUGAUUGACAUCUUCAGUUCUGCUUAAUCAUUGGGAUAUGUCAUCAUUAGCUCUAGUCUUCUCUCGACAUAUGCCCUGGUCUCCCAUUUUGCCAAAAAAUUGAGGUCACUGGCACAAACUUCUGCCUCCAUUAAAAUCAGCAUCAAUAAUCUA